GGUUGACCUCGGAUCAGGUAGGGAUACCCGCUGAACUUAAGCAUAUCAAUAAGCGGAGGAAAAGAAACCAACCGGGAUUGCCUCAGUAACGGCGAGUGAAGCGGCAAGAGCUCAAAUUUGAAAUCUGGCCCCCUCGGGGUCCGAGUUGUAAUUUGCAGAGGAUGCUUCGGGUGCGGCCCCCGUCUAAGUGCCCUGGAACGGGCCGUCAUAGAGGGUGAGAAUCCCGUCUGGGACGGGGUGUCCGCGUCCGUGUGAAGCUCCUUCGACGAGUCGAGUUGUUUGGGAAUGCAGCUCUAAAUGGGUGGUAAAUUUCAUCUAAAGCUAAAUACUGGCCGGAGACCGAUAGCGCACAAGUAGAGUGAUCGAAAGAUGAAAAGCACUUUGAAAAGAGAGUUAAAAAGCACGUGAAAUUGUUGAAAGGGAAGCGCUUGCGACCAGACUCGCCCGCGGGGUUCAGCCGGCAUUCGUGCCGGUGUACUUCCCCGUGGGCGGGCCAGCGUCGGUUUGGGCGGCAGGUCAAAGGCCCCCGGAAUGUAGUGCCCUUCGGGGCACCUUAUAGCCGGGGGUGCAAUGCUGCCAGCCUGGACCGAGGAACGCGCUUCGGCACGGACGCUGGCAUAAUGGUUGUAAACGACC
rnacentral:rRNA from 2 species